CGGCCAGCUCCGGCAAGGGGAGGUCGACGUGAGCUCGGGCAGUGGGCUGGCCUGGGUGGGCGCGGCGAGCUCCUGCUCCGGCAAGGGGCAGGCGCGGUGAGGUCUGGCUCCGGCAAGGGGCGGGCGCAGGAGAACUCCACCUCCAACGGGGCGGCCGGAGGAGGCGCUGCAGGAGCGCGCAUGGAGGAGGGAGCGGAUCCAAACCUUCCCCCACCACCACGGCCACUGCUCCCUCGACAAGAAGCGCCACAUCCCAACAUGUACCGGGUAAAAUCCUAACACUAGCUCAUGUAUUUCUCGAUCUGACAGUGAUGGGCAUGGCCAGGGAUCUGCUUGAAGAAUGGCAAUGACGAGGUGGAACUCCUGCAUCCUCCGACCCUGGAUUUUAUUGCUGGUUUACUGGUUUUAGUUCAGAUGGAAGAUCUCCAGGAUUAGGAAGGUGAUUUCUCUCGUCAGACAAAUAUGGCAUUCAGGAUGUAAUCAGUGGUAUUUUAGGAAAGGCAUGGACAAUAUUUUUAUAGGUUCAGCGCUGGUAAUGUACAUGUUGAUUUGAAGUUAAAAGUGAAAGUGAUGAGUUGACAUGAAUUUUGUGUGACAGGCUGAUAAUGCUUCGCUCUGCUCGCUAUGGAUAUGCCGGCCGGCGCCAGCUUCUUCCUCCCCAUCGGCCAGGUGACCUUGUUGACUCCUCCCUCUUCACCGGCCAGGCCAACUCGCCGGCACCUCCCACCUCACCGGCCCAGGAGAGAUCCCCUCCCUCAAUGUCGCCGCGUCCUGUGCUCGCCGCCGUCCAUGAGCCGAUUCCGCAGUGCAGAUGAGCCUGAAGUUGGCCACUUUUGGCAUAUGUGAUAAUAUGCAUUUCUCCUAUAAAUGUUCUAACACUACUCGGCCAUACAAGGGCUCUGAGAGGGCCAAAGCGGGUCAAGUUUUCUCCCGGAAUGUUGAUCAACCAGAGCCAUGACGACGGGGGCGGGGAGGUUAUCACUUGGAAGAUCUCGCCGGUGAACGACCGCCUUCGCACCAGGCACUUGCCAGGAAUGGCGCUUCAUCCGUGCUCAAACAACGAGAAACAUUCCUCGCUCGAGGCUAUGAAGAAGUGGCAUUCAUCUCCAUUGGGCCUGUCGAGGUGUACUGCUUCAGCGCGCAAUCCGAAUGCGUGUGGUAUAGGCCCAGGUGGCUGUGAUGGUAUGGAGGAUACCCAGAGUCCCUUCCGGACGCCACCAUCGCUGCCCUAUAGCACUGAGCAGUUGACCGCUGGUAUCAAUGGUAAUGGAGGACCCGACCUAAUCAGCAGACCUCUCCACCCUUCAGGUAUGCCGGCGUUUUGUGAUGAGAUGCGAGGUUGGAUGGAGCUUUGAGGGCAUCCAGUUUGGUGGCGACACACCACAUCUAUUUAUUCUUCCCCAAUUACACUGCUGUUUUGAUUCUCAUGUGUGGAGAUGGAUGUGAAUUACCUAGAGGAAGUGGUUACAACAUCCGUCUGAAAGAUGCAGCAGGCACAAUAUAAGUUACUGGUUUGUAGUUAUGCAAAUAAACUAGACCGAUCUUCUCGACUACAGGAGCCGCCCCCGGAGGAGGGUGAUGGCAUGCCAGUGAAGCUAGCUGGGCAUUUAAAGUUCAUGCUUACAUUGGCAAACCAUAUUCAGCAUUAUUGGGUCCAAAGCUGGUAGUAAAGAUGGUGUAGCGGCGAAGAAACCAAAGCGGUAUAAAGUUCUGUUCUGCAUAGCCUUUUCUUCAUGGAUAGUUUCUAUUGUGAGUUCUGCUCACAGCCUCACAGGGCUAGGUGGAGAGCUUAUUAGUAUCUUAGUAGUGCUCACUACCUCGAUGUCUUGACGCACACUACUACUCUGUUGGUUCUCUGCUUAAAUGAGGCAUCAAAUAUUCACUCUGCCAAAGUAGUGAAUAUAUGAAUGGUAUUCUUGAUUAGGGUAUUUCUCAAUAUCUCUCUGCUGAUUUAGUCAAUAACUAUAGUAGCCUGACAAUUAGUCCUUGGUGAAGGUAAUUUACCUCUUCCUCAUUACAUAUCUGGAUACAUGUGGUGGUUGCAUUCCUUUACUAAAGCUUGGUAUUUUUGUGUCUCCGGUGAAGCUCCGGUGGAUGGCGGUGAGAUGCAUGGCAUUUCUUCAGAGCCUUAUAUGCAUCGUUAUGAUUAUGCAUGAUUUAUAGUGUGUUCCAACCAGAGUUGUUCCUUUAUUGGCUA